UACCCUUUUCUACGGAAUAGCCUCGGGAAACUGAGAGUAAUACCGUAUAAGCCCUUCGGGGGAAAGAUUUAUCGGGAAAGGAUUGGCCCGCGUUAGAUUAGAUAGUUGGUGGGGUAAUGGCCUACCAAGUCUACGAUCUAUAGCUGGUUUUAGAGGAUGAUCAGCAACACUGGGACUGAGACACGGCCCAGACUCCUACGGGAGGCAGCAGUGGGGAAUCUUAGACAAUGGGCGCAAGCCUGAUCUAGCCAUGCCGCGUGUGUGAUGAAGGCCUUAGGGUCGUAAAGCACUUUCGCCAGAGAUGAUAAUGACAGUAUCUGGUAAAGAAACCCCGGCUAACUCCGUGCCAGCAGCCGCGGUAAUACGGAGGGGGUUAGCGUUGUUCGGAAUUACUGGGCGUAAAGCGUACGUAGGCGGAUCAGAAAGUAUAGGGUGAAAUCCCGAGGCUCAACCUCGGAACUGCCUUGUAAACUCCUGGUCUUGAGUUCGAGAGAGGUGAGUGGAAUUCCAAGUGUAGAGGUGAAAUUCGUAGAUAUUUGGAGGAACACCAGUGGCGAAGGCGGCUCACUGGCUCGAUACUGACGCUGAGGUACGAAAGUGUGGGGAGCAAACAGGAUUAGAUACCCUGGUAGUCCACACCGUAAACGAUGAAUGCCAGUCGUCGGGCAGUAUACUGUUCGGUGACACACCUAACGGAUUAAGCAUUCCGCCUGGGGAGUACGGUCGCAAGAUUAAAACUCAAAGGAAUUGACGGGGGCCCCCACAAGCGGUG
rnacentral:rRNA from 1 species